rnacentral:rRNA from 1 species
CAGCCGCCGCGGUAACACCGGCGGCUCGAGUGGUGGCCACUUUUAUUGGGUCUAAAGCGUCCGUAGCCGGCUUGGCAAGUCCCCUGGGAAAUCUGGCGGCUUAACCGUCAGGCGUCCAGAGGAUACUGCCAGGCUUGGGACCGGGAGAGGUGAGCGGUACCUCAGGGGUAGGGGUGAAAUCUUGUGAUCCCUGAGGGACCACCAGUGGCGAAGGCGUCUCACUAGAACGGGUCCGACGGUCAGGGACGAAAGCUGGGGGCACGAACCGGAUUAGAUACCCGGGUAGUCCCAGCCGUAAACGAUGCGGACUUUGUGUCGGACAAGCUAUGAGCUUGUCCGGUGCCGGAGGGAAACCGUUAAGUCCGCCGCCUGGGGAGUACGGCCGCAAGGCUGAAACUUAAAGGAAUUGGCGGG